UACGAAGGGGGCUAGCGUUGCUCGGAAUGACUGGGCGUAAAGGGCGCGUAGGCGGAUGGCACAGUCAGGUGUGAAAUUCCCGGGCUUAACCUGGGGGCUGCAUUUGAUACGUGUUGUCUAGAGUGAGGAAGAGGGUCGUGGAAUUCCCAGUGUAGAGGUGAAAUUCGUAGAUAUUGGGAAGAACACCGGUGGCGAAGGCGGCGACCUGGUCCUUGACUGACGCUGAGGCGCGAAAGCGUGGGGAGCAAACAGG
rnacentral:rRNA from 1 species